UCCCCCUGACAGCCGCCGGCUUUGUCUGCCGCCCGGCCCGCACCCGCACCCGCACGCUCCCUCUCUUCUUUCUCCGCUCGCCUCUUUGUCCGUGUCUCCCUCGCCUCGCACCCCUCCCGCUUUGUGUCCCUGGGGAGACUCAGCCUCAGACCCCAGCCACCCCAACCGGGCUGAUGCCCGGUGACCCCACACCCCUGACUGACUGUACGUUGAGAAGGAUUUCAAAGCCCCAAACAGAUCCACCCACUGAGGCGGCUGAGAAAAGGAGUUCGGCAGGUGCAGCGCUGUCAGGAGAUGAGACAAGCUAGACACACACCUGCUCUGAGACAGGGUACUUUCAGCAUCGAGCAACAGAAAACCUUGAGUCAACUUGCUAACCUGGCAUUGUGUUAGAGAGCUUCAUUCCCCACACCGUACCUACCCAGAUGCAGUGCUUCCUGGAAUGAACCACGGUCUCCGUUUUUAUUCAGGUGAAAAUGGAUUGAAUGGGAAAACGAAAUAGGCAUGAAGCUGCCGGCCCCGAGGUCUCUGCUUGGAGAGAGUAUCCGAAUAACUGGGAGCAAGUGGGUUUCCAUAGACUUUACAUCAAAAUUCGCUUUUAAAUUUAAAUACCUUUUACGAUCAAGGACUCCGACAUGAGGCUGAAUUGCCACCAUAAAGACUGCAAUUUUCUGAAGCAGCCCUCUCCACGGACAAGUUAUGGGGCUGUCCAAGGCACCAGGGGGAGAUAUUUUACAAAAGCCAAGAGAGCGGGUUUGUCAACAUCCCUAAAGCUUUAUAUGGGCCUCAUUGGUUCCAAUAAGAGGCUUGUCUGCCAGGCAUCCCUAAAUUCCUCAUGUGAGCAGAGACGAGCUCAGGAGUGCUCCCUGAGGAUGUGGCUGGCCCAUCAGCACUGAAACAGGUCUGACUUUGAACUGAUUAAAAGGGGGAAGAAUUGAAACAAAUGUUACCCUGAGACAAACAUCAGAAUCACCAGGCUUCUCAUGGAUUAUAGACCUCAGGGAGGAGUCAGCUCUCAGAGGGAGUUGACAUUGGUCCAGCCAUCAGAGAACGACAGCCUGUGCAAAGUAUCGUGACCAACCUGCAGAGCUGUAUGUGGCUCCCGGGUACCCAGGUCUAUGGACGUUUGUCUGCAUAGGCUCCCGGACCCAAAGACCGAAGUUAACAUCAUGAGGAUUGGAGUUCCCUUCGUGGCUCAUAGGUUAACAAACCUGAUUAGUAUCA